CCUAUACCAUGUUAUGACCCAAGACUAGAGGUUUUUAGAGCCCAGUUUAUAAACAAAACCAUUUAAAAAUAAUUUUAGAAUUUGGCCUGUGUAAAUGUUAAUACAAUUUUGGAGCUAGAUCAGGAAUUUUGUCCUUGCAUAAAUGAGUUUGUGGUGCAAUGCAUGACUAGGGCUCUUCUGUGAUAUCAUAAUGAAAAUAACAGUAGUGUCACUGUAGUCCAGGGCACUCCUGAAGACCAUAGGAAAUUUUUUAACAGAGGAAGACAGCCAAGGAAAAGGUGGACAUGUGCUCUAUUAUGCAGAAAAUUUUCUCACCUCAGAAAUCCUCAUGGCAGCAAUUAAAAAAAAAAAAAAAACCCUAAAAAGAAUCACCCCACCAAAACCAACCCAAAACCUCAAGCCAAACUGGGAAUCACUGGAAGCACUGAGAACUAAAACAUGCAGUAGGCUGAGGGAUAAAAUACCAUUAUCCAAAGCAUCCCUUUGUAGGACUGCAGGUGCAGGGGAAUGUAAAACUUUCCUCCUUUAAAGCCCAAUGAAGGGAGGUGAAGACAUUUAUUUUUCAAAUGUAAUAAAAUGAACUUUAUAUUAUUAUUUCA
rnacentral:lncRNA from 1 species